rnacentral:tRNA from 1 species
GAAUCGUUGGUUCAGUGGUAGGAAUGCUCGCCUGCCACGCGGGCGGCCGGGUUCGAUUCCGGACGAUGCA